rnacentral:lncRNA from 1 species
CUCUACUCAUGACUUCUUUCUCAGAGCAACUGCUGAGAUGUUUGAUAAUGCCUGGGUGUAAAGCUGAUUCACUACAGCAAGCCUCGUACACUUGGCAGGGCGGCAUCGAUCACUUUGAAAUACCUUCUAAAUAGAAUGACUGAAUUGAUGCAGCUGUUUGGUGCCAUCUGUGGUGUAAAUGUCUUCUGUCUUCCUUCAUGCACAUAUAGAUGAAUUCUCUGUAGUUUCUCCAGAGGUGAUAACGACAAGGCUCCUUCCCUCUGGAAACACAUGCAACUUUGCUGGCAUAAUAGAAACACCGAAAGGGAGAACCAGCAGCAGAUGCAGAUUACUCUUUCGGCAAGUGGAAAGGAAAUACAGAAUCUGGAUUGUCUUCUUGGGACAGAUUUCCUUCAGUGCUGAGUUAGGACAUCUUUGGGAAUAUUUCCUGAGAAGCAGAAGGACUGGGAUAAGCAAGUGGAAACCUAAAGGGGCAGCUGACAACAGAGUGGUGUUGAAGCCGAUUCAUCCUAAAGGGCAGUCCACUCACCCUCACUCAAGAGAACAGAAAGGUGAAGACCAGGGUGAGAGAAAAGAGCUCCCCACCCCGCCCCACAGUGAUUUAGUUGUGGAGAACUUGAGCCAUUUCUGUUUCACUAGCAAAGAAAGGAAAAAGGAAAGGCCAAUACAAAAAGAUUUUAAUUUUAAAUACAAUAUGACUAUAUAUGCAUGCAAAUUAGGUGAGACACUCAGUGUGUCCAAGUUAAAGCAAUGUUUUAAAAACUGUAAUCUGCUUUUUGUAGAGUUCCUUAAUUCCAGUGUGUAUUACAAAAUAUAUGCAGUGUGAAUAAAACCUGAGCUUCUCUAAUAACUCAUUGGUGAAAGUAAUAAACAAUCUUAGUAUAAGUUUCUUAUAAAUAAA